ensembl:lncRNA
GUUUGGUCUCGGCUGUUUUCUGAGAUGGUGUGCUGUAUAGCUAGAGAGCUUCCUUAUCAGGAAUACUCCUAGUGGCAUAAGGCCUAAUGAUGACACUUCUGCUAGUAGCCAAGUGGAUUGUCUUGUGGUUGCUCACAGGGGCCAUCACGCUCAGGACUGCAAUCUCCAUUUAGAGUUAGCAUUUCAAACAUGCUUCUGGAUUCUGUAGCUUUGAUCUUGUGAAAGAGGGCGUUAAUUUAGCAGAGAGUAAAUUUCUCUAUAAGAUUUUCCACAGACUGUAAAAGGAUUAAAUCUUGGCAAGACUAUCUGAUUUCUUCUCCAUGACUCCCAAGAUGUCUCUAAAGUGGAGGAAUGCCAUGUUGUUUAGAGAACAUGACUCAUUCACAGCUACACUUAAAGACCAAUACUCUUUAAGAGAUGAGGAAGUAUCAUUGGUCUCAUCUGCAAAAGCAGCAGUUUGAGUAAGAAAGAAAGGCUACACCAAAGGAAUAAUCAGCCAAGCAAGAAGCUCAUGUUUCCAGGCCCUGCCGAUAGAAUAGCUAACAAUACUGAAUCAGGACCUUAUGUGAUCCUGGUACUCAGGAGAGCUGCAAGUUAAACAUCAGAAGAAACCAUCCAAUUUGGCAUUAACUUUGUGUCCUUGACACUGAAAUAUUGUUUCCUAUGGUGUCUUCAUCCAGAUCAAUUCUAAGUGCCCUGCACACUUUCCUUACCAGGCAUUUUGACAACAUAACCUUCUGAUACUGAGGCGUGAUUUAUACAGAUAUUGAAACUGUCCCUCCUGAAUUUUCAUACCUACUGUCUUAUACUGUGGAUAUCAUCCUAAAUAAUUCUUCUUCUGUUGUUAUUGUAUGUACCCUCCAAAGGCUUGAGAUGGCAAUAUCUCUUCUUUUACAACUUGAAAACCAAAUUGUGUGUAAUGCUUAAGCAAAUUAAUCACUGUUUAUUCCCUGAGGUUUUUUUUUUCUUGAAACUCUAGUGAAUGGUCAUUAUUUUCAGCCAUGUCUGCAUUAGUUGCCAGAGUGGCAAACUACUAUUUACUGCGUGGACCAAAACUAUUAACAGUGUAUUUGUUGUAAAGCAAAACUUCAGAAUGACUCUGGUCAUGCAAAUGCAAAACUUGUGAGUUCAAAUACAUUUCCCUGUCCUGAGUUACGUAAAAGGGGCCAACACAGUUGACUUCUAAUAUUGUGUCCGCUCUACAAACCAAAGAGUAAUAAAUGAGGAUGAGUGAGAUGUAUUUUCAAAGCACACUCCUAUCCCAUCUGAGACAGUGCAAGAAAGGCAAUGCCAGAUAACCAGUUCUAAAUGAACCAAAGAAGGGGUGAUGUUCAUAAUCCAGUCAAAGAAAUGUUUGUUUACUUGUUCCAAGUAUCAGGGCUUGCCAAAUACUCCAAGAAAUGAGAUCUCCAGGUUGAGAUCCUUCUCCUGUGGUAGCCAGCCCUUAAAUAAGGCUUAGGGAGGUGAAUUGCAUUCCCCGUGCUCCCAGGGCUGGCUGUGUCCCUUCACCAGGUACUCAGUCAUUGUUUCAGGCUGUGACUUAACAAUUCCCCUUAUCUCUGCAGCUCAAAGUGUCCUUGUCAAAAUUCACCAUGGCAGAUGGAAAAAGCCAAAUUUCAAUUGAAGUUACUAUACACUAUCUUACAGGCUUUUACUGUUUUGCCAGACUUCAUUUUUUUUAUUUAACACUCCUGCUACAGGUUGUAUAUUCUCAAAUAUAUUCAGUUGUAUCUUCUCUGAUCAGAAUCUUAUAUAAGGCCCUACUUUUUGUAAUGGUAAGGACUAGUCACUGAAACAAUGUACCUGGGGUCAUGAUAAACUCUCUAAAAUGUGAAGCUUUUAAAUUAAGAUUUGAUUUAUUUCUCAAAUAGAGGUCCUUGCUCAUCCUGAAGUUAUGAAAUUGAUGCAGGAAUCACUUCUUAAAAUUCUGUGGCUUGUGCUGUUCAGGAGGUCAGUCUGUGUUAUUAUAGUUCCUGCUGGUCUUAAAAUUUAUGGAACUACAAAACAUUUUAUAUAUUUUGUGUAUAUUAUUAAUUCUGUCUCUUUAUAUACUGUUUCUCUUUCCUUGGAGGUUUUCAUAACACCUUCCAAAUGAAUUUAGUAUUGUCUCUGAAUUUUGUUUAUGUACUGUGUAUUCAACUGAAUACAUUGUCAUUUAUCAGUGCACUGUUUGUGGUCCUUCAGCAAGCUUUCAUUCUAUGUGACAGUGUUCAUAUCCAUGCCAAUUUGAUUUUUUUGUGAGUAGAAUUUCAUUUGAUGCUAUAUCAAAUAUUUCAAUAAAAAGCUAGAUACAUUCCAUCUACUUCAUUCCCCCGUUACUUCAUUAAAAUAAAGUAUUCAGAUUUGUCUGGAAUGAUUUGUACUUACUAAAACUGCUAAUUUUGAUUGUGGAUCACCAAGUGAGAGGUGCUGAAGAGUGGUGGAGAUUCUUUCUUUACCAACUGAAGCCUUUAAAAAUGUAGGAGGUGUGAUGAAUCUCACCCUAAUUCUUGAAUUUGAUAUUCAUUCUUACAUUCUUCCUAGUCAC